ensembl:Y_RNA Y_RNA Y RNA
UGCUGGUUUGAUUGCAGUGGUAUUUACAAUUAAUUGAUCAUAGCCAGUUAUGGAUUUCUUUGUUCUUUCUCCACCUCCACUGCUUCAUUUGACUAGCCUUAA